CGCCCCCUCACCCUUUACACUCGCCCCCCCUCGCCCGCGGGAGUCUCGGCGCUGCAGGACCGACCCGGGUUGAAGGGGCCCCUAGGUUCUGUGGGGAGGAGUCCGUGCCGGAUCGACGCCUGAGCCCGAAGGCCGAGCUGGGCGGCGGCAUGCGGCGCCGUUGAGGGCGCUGCCGCGCGCGCUCCCAGGCCGCCCUGAGUCCUGGGCUCUUUGAAGGAGGGUCAGCGCCGGGGGCCGAGGAGUGGGGCACACGGGGGAGCUGCCGGAGCUCCCGCCGACGCCGUGUCUCCAGGCGUAGCUUGGCGCCUGGGGUCAGGGGCCGAGGCUUGGGCGCUGCCUGCCAGAGCGGAGAUCCGGGUUUGCCUCCCGCCCCCGCUCAGGACCCUGAGGCGGGUGAGGCAGCCCAGAGAGCAUGAGCGGGCAGCGCGUGGACGUCAAGGUGGUGAUGCUGGGCAAGGAGUACGUGGGCAAGACAAGCUUGGUGGAACGAUACGUGCACGACCGCUUCCUGGUGGGGCCCUAUCAGAACACCAUCGGGGCUGCCUUCGUGGCCAAGGUGAUGUCCGUUGGAGACCGGACGGUGACUUUAGGUAUUUGGGACACAGCAGGCUCUGAGCGCUACGAGGCCAUGAGCCGGAUCUACUACCGGGGAGCGAAGGCUGCCAUCGUCUGCUAUGACCUGACGGACAGUAGCAGUUUUGAGCGGGCAAAGUUCUGGGUGAAGGAACUGCGCAACCUAGAGGAGGGUUGUCAGAUCUACCUGUGUGGCACCAAGAGUGACCUGCUGGAGGAGGACAGGCGGCGUCGACGUGUGGACUUCCACGAUGUCCAGGACUACGCAGACAGUAGCUGUUCUCAGCUCCCCAGGGAUAUCAAAGCUCAGCUCUUUGAAACAUCCAGCAAGACAGGCCAGAGUGUGGACGAGCUCUUCCAGAAAGUGGCAGAGGAUUACGUCAGUGUGGCUGCCUUCCAGGUGAUGACAGCAACCUCUGGCCCUGCUGCAAUGGCCCUAGGAAGCUCAGCUGAGAGCUAAUUGGUCAUAACCAAUGACAGUCUCGUGCAGCAGCUACCUAGCUCUAAGUGAUCUGGAAUGUCUAGCACAUGAAGCAGCCCAAGCAUUAUUUAGCAGGAAAAGGGACUUGUGGAAGCUCCUUUCCUGCAAUGACCUCAGGGGAAGCUGCCAGGACCAUACUUCCUUCCUGCCAUUCUGUUCUCAUGAUGUGACCUGGGAGUCCAGUUCCAGUAAGGAGAUGCUGCUGAACCUGGGAAAGGAUCACUGAUGCGCUUUGUGCCCUGACUGUAGUGUGGGGUAGAGAAUGUGAUAAAACAAUUAUUUCCAUCGAUGCUAAAGAUGCAGAUUUGGUAGUUAUUCAUUAGAGGAUCAACACAGUGACUUAAAUCACCUCAAACUCAGUAACUUAUGGGGGAAGCAGACAUUUAAAAACCUGGGAUACUUCUGUAGCUUUGACAGCUAUUUUGCUAUUAGAAUGGGUUUCUCCAAAGGAGAAGCAAACGAGGCUUUGAAUUCAAAUUUCCAUAAAGUCCUUUUGACUUAACAGGGCUAGGAGACAUAUUGGUUCUUUAGCAACCUAUGGAAGCCAUGGCUUCCCUCUUGGAAACAUUUCCUGGGGACUGGCUCAGAGGCAUUCUCUUGAGAUCCUGAUUUCCAGGCACUUGGCCAAAUACCAAAAUACCACCCUACACAAAGAUCAGGAUUCUAAGAGAAAAGCUUUCCUUUUAACUGCCAAUUCACACCCUCUGGAGAAAAGGUCUCAGUACAGGGCUCCAGGAGAGUCCCCAAGGGCUGGCAAGGUUACUCCCUCCCCACUGACCCUCAUGCAAGAGUCUCAAUUUCCCAACAGUCCUUCUGGCUCUGCUUCUAAUUGUAUGGUGACUGCUUUCUUGAUGUUAACAAUCUGGUAUCAGGUAUGAGGUGGGCCUGAUAGCUGAAUUUCUAGUUUCCAUUCUACCUGAGAGCCUUUCAGUAACCCUCACAAAAGCCUGGUUGUCUAUCCAUUUAGAUAAAGAACUGCCACCCCCCCACCCUCACCCCCAAACCAAGCACACCUCAAAAGUUGUUUUCCCAGGCAGUUCUGGAAGGAAGUUUCCAGCAAAUGGUGGAGAAUGGAAAGAACCAAAACAAAAUCACAGUGGCCAAUUAUGGCCCACCUUUCCCUCACUCCUUGUCCUGUGAGACAUAUCUAGAGAGCGGAUGUCAAGUCAAUUACCUACCAAAGCCUAUUUCAGGAUCAAACUUCUCCACUUAAUUUUUUUUACAUAGCCUGCACACACCCCACCCACCCCCAAAUUCACAGUUUAUUUCAUGAAACAAAGAGCUACGGUAAUUUAACACACAACAUAGUGAAAGGAGAUUCUGACAGUGCAGUGCGAAUAUCUUUUUCUGAUCACAACUACAGAUGACAGGAGAGAAAAGGGCACAGGACUGGCACCAAGCAAACCCUACUCAUACAGCCUAAGAGAUUAGGGAAAGGGACCUACUAGCUGCAGUUAUAUACUUAUUAUUCUCACACAUGAUAAAUACUUAAUAUAACGAACUUUAAUGUUCUGGGUGGAUUUCUUUAAAAAUAUCUUUUCCAU